rnacentral:rRNA from 1 species
UACGGAGGGUGCGAGCGUUGUCCGGAAUCAUUGGGCGUAAAGGGUGCGUAGGCGGGUCUUUAAGUCAGGGGUGAAAUCCUGGAGCUCAACUCCAGAACUGCCUUUGAUACUGAGGAUCUUGAGUUCGGGAGAGGUGAGUGGAACUGCGAGUGUAGAGGUGAAAUUCGUAGAUAUUCGCAAGAACACCAGUGGCGAAGGCGGCUCACUGGCCCGAUACUGACGCUGAGGCACGAAAGCGUGGGGAGCAAACAGG